rnacentral:rRNA from 1 species
UCGAGCGGACGAGUGGAGCUUGCUCCAUGAUUCAGCGGCGGAGGGGUGAGUAAUGCCUAGGAAUCUGCCUGAUAGUGGGGGACAAGGCUUUCGAAAGAGAACGCUAAUACCGCAUACGUCCUACGGGAGAAAGUGGGGGAUCUUCGGACCUCACGCUAUCAGAUGAGCCUAGGUCGGAUAAGCUAUUUGGUGAGGUAAAGGCUCACCAAGGCGACGAUCCGUAACUGGUCUGAGAGGAUGAUCAGUCACACUGGAACUGAGACCCGGUCCAGACUCCUACGGGAGGCAGCAGUGGGGAAUAUUGGACAAUGGGCGAAAGCCUGAUCCAGCCAUGCCGCGUGUGUGAAGAAGGUCUUCGGAUUGUAAAGCACUUUAAGUUGGGAGGAAGGGCAUUAAGUUAAUACCUUGCUGUUUUGACGUUACCGAUAGAAUAAGCA